UCAGGACAUGUCUUGUAGCUUAUUUCUCCUCAUUAAACCAAAUUUUGUUGCUUUAUUCUAAUUAUUUGAAUGUGUUCUUGUUUGACAGUUGACUGAACAAAAAUUGACAAGAAAGGAAGGUAUAAGCUUUUCUUGUUUGAGGUUACUUGCUAAGAUUAAAGCCUCGCUAUCUUUCACUUGAAAUUUCUGAAGGAAGCUUGCAGACAAGAUUGCAGCUUCUGGUUACUAUGUGGUUGUUCCGAACUUCUUUUAUGGUGAACCCUAUGAUCCUCAGAAUACUAAUAGACCUUUAGGAGAGUGGCUAAAAGAUCAUGGAACGGUUAGUUCUUUUUAAUGAUUCAACAUUAUUUCUUUGUUCAUAAUGAUUCAACAUUAUUUCCCCAUGAUCCAAACCACAAGCUGCAAAUCCACCAUAUCCUCUCUCAUCCUCUCCUCUUUCUCCAAUGAAACCUCUCAGUUCCUACUGUGAUUCGAUCCUCUACUGAUUGGAAGAACACUAGGAAGAACAAGAAGUGCAGAAGGAAGAACAUUGAUGGAUUGUGUGGUGGCAAGGAAGAAUGCUUCUUCAAGAAGGAACCUUGAUGUUGUUGAGAGAGCAACACAUAGGGAAGAGUGUAGAUCGGAUAUAGUAAGGUAGACAUCCUCUGCUCAGAAAGUGGGAAGCAGCAAAUAAUUUUGAUGGACCAAGAAUCUCAAGAAGCAAGUAUAUUGCCGUCAUCACUAAGAAGUUCAAGAAAGAAUGAAGCUAUCCAUAAAUUAGGAUAUUGAAUCUUGAUGAGUCCACUAGUAGUUAUUUGUCAUCUAAUGUAUUUAGAUUGUAUUAU